GAUGAACGCUGGCGGCGUGCUUAACACAUGCAAGUCGAGCGAGUGAGUUCUUCGGAACAAUCUAGCGGCGGACGGGUGAGUAACACGUGGGCAACCUGCCUCAUAGAGGGGGAUAGCCUCCCGAAAGGGAGAUUAAUACCGCAUAAAAUGUAUUGAUCGCAUGAUUGAAACAUUAAAGGAGAAAUACGCGAUGAGAUGGACCCGCGGCGCAUUAGCUAGUUGGAGAGGUAAAGGCUCACCAAGGCGACGAUGCGUAGCCGACCUGAGAGGGUGAUCGGCCACAUUGGAACUGAGAAACGGUCCAGACUCCUACGGGAGGCAGCAGUGGGGAAUAUUGCACAAUGGGGGAAACCCUGAUGCAGCAACGCCGCGUGAGUGAAGAAGGCCUUCGGGUUGUAAAGCUCUGUCAUUGGGGACGAUAAUGACGGUACCCAAUGAGGAGGCCACGGCUAACUACGUGCCAGCCGCCGCGGUAA
rnacentral:rRNA from 1 species